GGACCUGACUGCUAUCGGAUUGAUACUAAGCCAUGCGAGUCAUUGUAGUAAUACAAGGCAGACGGCUCAGUAACGCGUAGUCAACCUACCCUAUGGACGGGGAUAACCUCGGGAAACUGAGAAUAAUACCCGAUAGAACGUUAUGCCUGGAAUGGUUUAUGUUUCAAAUAAUUUAUUGCCGUAGGAUGGGACUGCGGCCUAUCAGUUUGUUGGUGAGGUAAUGGCCCACCAAGACUAUUACAGGUACGGGCUCUGAGAGGAGUAGCCCGGAGAUGGGUACUGAGACACGGACCCAGGCCCUAUGGGGCGCAGCAGGCGAGAAAACUUUGCAAUGUGCGAAAGCACGACAAGGUUAAUCCGAGUGGUUUCUGCUAAAGGAACCUUUUGUCAGUCCUAGAAACACUGAUGAAUAAGGGGUGGGCAAGUUCUGGUGU
rnacentral:rRNA from 1 species